rnacentral:rRNA from 1 species
UACAGAGGUCCCAAGCGUUGUUCGGAUUCAUUGGGCGUAAAGGGUGCGUAGGUGGCGCUGUAAGUGGGGUGUGAAAUUUCGGAGCUUAACUCCGAAACUGCAUUCCAUACUGCGGUGCUUGAGGACUGGAGAGGAGACUGGAAUUUACGGUGUAGCGGUGAAAUGCGUAGAUAUCGUAAGGAAGACCAGUGGCGAAGGCGGGUCUCUGGACAGUUCCUGACGCUGAGGCACGAAGGUCAGGGGAGCAAACGGG